UUUCCGUAGGUGAACCUGCGGAAGGAUCAUUAAUGAGUUGUCAUGGGGUUCGAUGCUGGCAGCCAGUUUUUGGAUGCAUGUGCUUGCCCUAACAUUCAUCUUCUUCCAAACACCUGUGCACAUUUUUGAGGGAGUCUUGAGUUGGUUGCCGCUCUUGGGUGAUUUUCUCACAUUCCUUUAAAUCAUUAUACGCUAGUAACAAUGUUGAACGUGCUCUGUGCCGCAAGGCCAUUAAUAUAAUACAACUUUUAACAACGGAUCUCUUGGCUCUC
rnacentral:misc_RNA from 1 species